rnacentral:snoRNA from 1 species
UAUCCUGAUGACAAAAGGCCAUGAGGCCUGAUAAUCCCAGCUCGUCGAGUGCCUCACGUACAACGUAGAGAGCUACUGAGAUAAGAAACACGUUCUGAUCU